rnacentral:rRNA from 1 species
UACGUAGGGGGCAAGCGUUGUCCGGAUUUAUUGGGCGUAAAGAGCUCGUAGGUGGUUUGUCGCGUUGUUCGUGAAAACUCACAGCUCAACUGUGGGCGUGCGGGCGGUACGGGCAGACUGGAGUACUGCAGGGGAGACUGGAAUUCCUGGUGUAGCGGUGGAAUGCGCAGAUAUCAGGAGGAACACCGGUGGCGAAGGCGGGUCUCUGGGCAGUAACUGACGCUGAGGAGCGAAAGCGUGGGGAGCGAACAGG